ensembl:processed_transcript AV026068 expressed sequence AV026068
GAUGAGACCUUCAGUUUGUGCCCACACUCAUUUGCAGCAACCCUAACAGAGAUUGCGAAGAUUUUCAAAGUGGGGCACCUCGAUUUCUCGAAUCUGUGGUGUGGCGAAUAUCCGUGUUCCUCCUGCUUAACUAGCCUGUUUGAAGGCACAGUUCAUUCUCGAGCAAUUCGUCACCUCCUGGGGGUCUUCUCUUCCCGUCUACAGGAGAGUGUGACUUCAGAAAGAACUUCGGAUUGGCCAAGGCAGGUCUGAUUCUAUUUAUUCUAAAGACAGAGUUGGAGAUGGGCUACCAUUGGUGUUGAUUGAGAUGACAAGCAGUCACCUGAGCCCAUACAGCUGGGUUCACAGAUGUGGCUAGUCUUGCUAGCCAGCUCGCACUGUGGACAUUCUAGGGAACUGACUGCAGUCCUCAUGCUUGGAGUCAAACACUUUAACCACUGCACACGUUUAUGUAGUAGGAUUGACAUAUGAGAAUCAGAGAAAUGAAUGAAAGAUUAGAGUGGGAGAAAGUGCUUGCUGCCAAGCUUGAUGACCUAAAUUGAAUACCUGGAACCUACACGACAGAAAGAGAGAGCUGACUGCUGAAAGAUGUCCUCAGAUCUUCACAUGUGCACAGUGGCACCUAUCCAACCAUGCACAUAGUAUAUUAAAAAUUAUUUUUUAAAAAA